rnacentral:rRNA from 1 species
AGGGCACCACCAGGAGUGGAGCCUGCGGCUUAAUUUGACUCAACACGGGGAAACUUACCCGGCCUGGACACUGGAAGGAUUGACAGAUUGAGAGCUCUUUCUUGAUUCAGUGGGUGGUGGUGCAUGGCCGUUCGUAGUUGGUGGAGCGAUUUGUCUGGUUAAUUCCGAUAACGAACGAGACUCUAGCCUAUUAAAUAGGCUCCCGGCUUUUAAACGCCGGGAGGACUUCUUAGAGGGACAGGUGGCGGUUCAGCCGCACGAAAGAGAGCAAUAACAGGUCUGUGAUGCCCUUUGUUGUCCGGGGCCGCACGCGCGCUACACUGAAGAGAUCAGCGUGCUUUAUGUUCCUGCUCCGACCGGAGUGGGGAACCCAGUGAACCUUCUUCGUGAUUGGGAUAGAAGAUUGUAAUUAUUCUUCUUGAACGAGGAAUUCCCAGUAAAUGCGAGUCAUAAGCUCGCGUUGAUUACGUCCCUGCCCUUUGUACACACCGCCCGUCGCUACUACCAUUGAACGAUUUA